rnacentral:rRNA from 1 species
CCUACGGGUGGCAGCAGUGAGGAAUAUUGGUCAAUGGACGAGAGUCUGAACCAGCCAAGUAGCGUGAAGGAUGACUGCCCUAUGGGUUGUAAACUUCUUUUAUAUGGGAAUAAAACGUUCCACGUGUGGGAUUUUGUAUGUACCAUAUGAAUAAGGAUCGGCUAACUCCGUGCCAGCAGCCGCGGUAAUACGGAGGAUCCGAGCGUUAUCCGGGUUUAUUGGGUUUAAAGGGAGCGUAGGUGGAUUGUUAAGUCAGUUGUGAAAGUUUGCGGCUCAACCGUAAAAUUGCAGUUGAAAAUGGCAGUCUUGAGUACAGUAGAGGUGGGCGGAAUUCGUGGUGUAGCGGUGAAAUGCUUAGAUAUCACGAAGAACUCCGAUUGCGAAGGCAGUUCACUGGACUGCAACUGACACUGAGGCUCGAAAGUGUGGGUAUCAAACAGGAUUAGAUACCCCUGUAGUC